CGAACGAAGCAUUUACACGGAUUUCCUUCGGGGAUGAAGGGUUUAUGACUGAGUGGCGGACGGGUGAGUAACGCGUGGGCAACCUGCCCCGUAUCGGGGGACAACAGCCGGAAACGGCUGCUAAUACCGUAUACGUUUUAAGGACCGCAUGGUCCUUAAAACAAAACUCCGGUGGUACGGGAUGGGCCCGCGUCUGAUUAGCUCGUUGGCGGGGUAACGGCCCACCAAGGCGACGAUCAGUAGCCGGCCUGAGAGGGCGGCCGGCCACAUUGGGACUGAGACACGGCCCAGACUCCUGCGGGAGGCAGCAGUGGAGAAUAUUGCACAAUGGGGGAAACCCUGAUGCAGCGACGCCGCGUGAGCGAGGAAGUACCUCGGUAUGUAAAGCUCUGUCAGCAGGGAAGAAAAUGACAGUACCUGACCAAGAAGCCCCGGCUAACUACGUGCCAGCAGCCGCGGUAAUACGUAGGGGGCAAGCGUUAUCCGGAUUCACUGGGCGUAAAGGGAGCGCAGGCGGCACGGCAAGUCUGAUGUGAAAACCCGGGGCUCAACCCCGGGACUGCAUUGGAAACUGCCGGGCUGGAGUGUCGGAGGGGUAAGCGGAAUUC
rnacentral:rRNA from 1 species